UACGGGGGGUGCAAGCGUUAGUCGGAAUUACUGGGCGUAAAGGGUGCGUAGGUGGUUUAUUAAGUUAUGUGUGAAAGUUCUGGGCUUAACCUGGAGACUGCAGAUAAGACUGGUAGACUAGAGUAUAGGAGAGGGUAGUGGAAUUUCCGGUGUAGCGGUGAAAUGCGUAGAGAUCGGAAGGAACACCAGUGGCGAAGGCGGCUACCUGGCCUAAUACUGACACUGAGGCACGAAAGCAUGGGGAGCAAACAGG
rnacentral:rRNA from 1 species